GGAUUAAGCUGGCCAGCGUGUUGGAGAGACCGCUACCAGUGAACCAGCCCGGGUUUUUCGGACUCGGGAGUCGUGCAGAUCUGUUGGAUCUGGGUCCAGGGAGUCCCAGUGAUGGGCUGACCCUGGCAGUGCCAGGCUGGGGUGUCCCAGAGUAGCCAGGAAUCGAAAUGCUUCAUGGAACGACCACCCUGGCCUUCAAGUUCAGCCAUGGAGGCAUAGUUGCGGCCGACUCCAGGGCUACAGCAGGUGCUUACAUUGCCUCCCAGAUGGUGAAGAAGGUGACAGAGAUCAACCCAUACCUGCUGGGCACCAUGGCUGAGGGCGCAGCAGAUUGCAGCUUCUGGGAAUGGCUGUUGGCUCGGCAAUGUCGAAUCUAUGAGCUUCGCAAUAAGGAACUCAUCUCUGUAGCAGCUGCCUCCAAGCUGCUUGCCAACAUGGUGUAUCAGUACAAAGGCAUGGGGCUCUCCAUGGGCACCAUGAUCUGUGGCUGGGGUAAGAGAGGCGCUGGCCUCUACUAUGUGGACAGUGAAGGGAACCGGAUCUCAGGGGCCACCUUCUCUGUGUAUGCAUAUGGGGUCAUGGAUCGGGGCUAUUCCUAUGACCUGGAAGUGGAGGAGGCCUAUGAUUUGGCCCGUCGAGCCAUCUACCUAGCCACCUACAGAGAUGCUUACUCAGGAGGUGCCAUCAACCUCUACCAUGUGCGGGAGGAUGGCUGGAUCUCCAGUGACAAUGUAGCUGAUCUGCAUGAGAAGUAUAGUGGCUCCCCCUGAAAGAGGGUGGAUGCAGCUGCUUGUGUUUCUUGGGGUGACUGUCGUUGGUAAUAAGGAUACAGUGACCCAUCCUCCAUCCUAUUUAUAGUGGAAAGGUCUUCAAUUGUAUCAACACUUUUUAAGCUCUGGCACAUUGACCUCUAUGUGUUACCAGUCGUUAAUGAGCUGCUGCAGAGGUGACUAUUUGUUUUACUUUCUUGGAUGUUAACAUUACACUACUCAUUUCUCAAAAAAAAAAAAAAA